CCUUGAGAGUCCUGAAGGAACGUUGAAGACGACGACGUUGAUAGGCCGGGUGUGUAAGCGCAGCGAUGCGUUGAGCUAACCGGUACUAAUGAACCGUGAGGCUUAACCUUACAACGCCAAAG
rnacentral:rRNA from 1 species